GGAGGGGUUCCCGAGCGGCCAAAGGGAUCAGACUGUAAAUCUGACGGCUCAGCCUUCGCAGGUUCGAAUCCUGCCCCCUCCA
rfam:Idiomarina xiamenensis 10-D-4 contig13, whole genome shotgun sequence.